CCAACCAGCCUGGGAUUUGAUGAUCCAGCGCUGCUGGAUGCACAGUGCAGUUGCAGCCCCGCAAAUCCCCAUGUCUGACAAGCAGGGAUGGACCAACCCACACAGCUCCAAGUGGCACGUGGCUCCUGGCUGUGGGCACCCCAAACUCUGCCCGAGCCCCUGCAGCCGCUGCCAUCCAAAGGUCCCUGCUGGGGCCCUGCGCUGCCCAGGACCGGGACACGGCCCAGGCUGGCAGGGAGCCCCAGCUCCUCAGCAAGAGACACGGAGCCAGGCACAGAUCGCAGCUUGGGCUCUGGUAGGCUCCAGCCCCCUUAUCAAGUGAAACAAGAUGCCUCAGAAGAUCCCAGAGGAGUGUCCUGGUCCCAAAGAGGCCACUGAAGGCAGGAGAGGAAAUUCAGGUGAUGUUUGCUCUGACUGCUGCCCUCCCACCCCUCCCUGGGCACCAAGCUGGAGCCAGCUUGGCCUGAAAUCAGAAGGUUCCCGCUGGGCAGUCAGGUGCCCAUUGCAGCGCUGCGAUGGUGCCCACAGCUCCCCUGUUAUCAGGGUGACAUUUCUGGGCUGCGGGUGCCAGCACCAGCCUCUGCUUUGAGGAACCGCUGCAAUCAGGCAAUGUAACCCAUUUCUUGCUUGCAUUUGGCUGCCAGGAAGAGAACUGGGGACUGUGUAAUCGCCCUCCUCAGGAUUAGAUCAUGAAUCAAAGCCCUGCUCAGCUCCUUGCUC